rnacentral:tRNA from 1 species
GGAGAGAUGUCCGAGUGGUUGAAGGAGCACGACUGGAAAUCGUGUAGGGGGUCAAAAGCUCCCUCGAGGGUUCGAAUCCCUCUCUCUCCGCCA